rnacentral:tRNA from 1 species
ACUAGUUUUCCCGAGUAGUUAAGGGGAAAGACUUAAGAUCUUCUGCACAUAAGUGUGCAUGGGUUCGAACCCCAUAGUUAGCA